CCCGGCCCGCGACCAGCCGCUGCUCUGUCAGAGUGGGACAGGUGCAAAUCCACAUGAAAGGACAUUUUGUCUCCAAAUCAGCGGCUCAGUCCUCCUGCAGAAGCCAUGUAACAGAAAUUCCCGUGUAACCCUACACCCUGCGACAGGACUGCAUUCUGCGGGACAUAUGGUGCUUUAACUGCAGCCACGACGGGCAGCUCAGUGCCCCUGGGGGUGGGGGGCAGAUUGGGGGGUCUGAGGUGGUCAGGCCUUAGAAGCUCGAGGCUGCACAGGCUCUAGAGGGAGCUGUGAGCUUGGUAAGGUCCCGAGUCUGCCGAUGAGCGAUGCCUUCACCUUUCUGCCCCCCCCCCCCCCCCCAACAGGAAGUCAGCUUACAUCCACAGAUGUUUCUCAGUCCCUCAUCCUUCAUUUGGCAAAUAAUAAUAUUAAAGAAUGUACAGUGAUCCUGACUGCUAAUGACGACAGGGUGGAUAAUUUCUCUGCCAUAAUACUGAAGCCAAAAGAAAAGACUGGAAAAGGAUAUCGGCCCAGCAAAAAAAAAUGUCGCGACCCCUUCGCCGACACUCAAUCCAGACACCGCCGUGGGUCCGCGGGCCGCACAGGAAGCGGCCGCAGUAACGCAAUCCGGCGGCAGGCGGGGAGGGAGGGAAGGAGAGAGGCGGCAGCCGCGGCAGCGUUUGAAAUGAAGAUGGAGCCGCUCUGACUUCACCGUGUGAGGGUUCUGCUGAAAGGCCUGUUAUUUUCAUCAUUAGAGCCUCUCCUCGUCUCCGCGAGCGGGCAGGUCGAGCCGGUGCCCCCCGCGAGCCGCCGCGUCUUGUUUUCUAGCCCCCCUCCCGCUUCCAUUCCAGUCAUCAAAUGCUGCGCACAACAUAAUGAGAGAUGUGGCAAUUAAUUUUCUUUUAAUCAAGGUCGAAAUGAAGUAAAUUGGUACAGCUUCGCGGCCCUCAUUUUCUAUUUUUGCAGCGAUGCAAAACAAAUACGAUAAAAUGAUGUGCUGCUCACCUACUGUAAUUAGAAAGCGUGAACGAUCAGAGCGGGAUGGUGUGUCAUAUACGGCACCUCCAGCUCCCUCUCCCCAGAGAUCAGAUUUCAGUUCUUUUUAAACAGAUGACCAUGUUUUCCUCCCCACUCUCCUAAUUCCCCUUCUCUUUUCCUCCCCUCGUCUUCCGCAGCUGAGUUACAGACAUGAGGAGUGGCUCGACGUGACAUUGAGUGUCGUGUUGUUGUAAUGCCUCUCCGAUCUUAUUAAAGGGCAGCACUGCUGAGCGCUUUGCUGACUUCACACAUUUCCAUUAA